GACGGAGGAGGGAAGCGUUAUCCGGAAUUAUUGGGCGUAAAGGGUACGUAGGCGGCUGGUCAAGUCUGGGGUCAAAGACCACAGCUCAACUGUGGAAAGGCCCUGGAAACUGACCGGCUAGAGUGAGGUAGGGGUUGCGGGAAUUCCCGGUGUAGCGGUGAAAUGCGUAGAGAUCGGGAAGAACACCUGAGGCGGAAGCGCGCAACUGGGCCUCAACUGACGCUGAGGUACGAAAGCUAGGGGAGCGAAUGGG
rnacentral:rRNA from 1 species